rnacentral:rRNA from 1 species
UACGGAGGGUGCAAGCGUUAAUCGGAAUUACUGGGCGUAAAGCGUGCGCAGGCGGUUAUGCAAGACAGAUGUGAAAUCCCCGGGCUCAACCUGGGAACUGCAUUUGUGACUGUAGAGCUGGAGUACGGUAGAGGGGGAUGGAAUUCCGCGUGUAGCAGUGAAAUGCGUAGAUAUGCGGAGGAACACCGAUGGCGAAGGCAAUCCCCUGGACCUGUACUGACGCUCAUGCACGAAAGCGUGGGGAGCAAACAGG